UAAUAAGUGUUUUUAUGGCACUUUUUAAAUCCAUAUCCACCUUGCGUGCAAUGUCGGUCGAUCUUCUUUUUUUGAGGAUCGACCAAACAUCAACCUUUAUUUUUUAACUCUUUGUCUGAAAAAUAUUAUGAAUAAACAAUUCAAAAGUA
rnacentral:misc_RNA from 1 species